rnacentral:lncRNA from 1 species
AGUGGGCGUGCAGGAGAAGCUGUAGGUCAGGAGGUAGAGUUGGCAGUGGGCGUGCAGGAGAAGCUGUAGGUCGGAGAGGUAGAGGUGGCAGUGGGCGUGCAGGAGAAGCUGUAGGUCAGGGGGUAGAGGUGGCAGUGGGCGUGCAGGAGAAGCUGUAGGUCAGAGUGGAUAGGUGGCAGUGGGCGUGCAGGAGAAGCUGUAGGUCAGGAGGUAGAGGUGGCAGUGGGCGUGCAGGAGAAGCUGUAGGUCAGGAGGUAGAGGUGGCAGUGGGCGUGCAGGAGAAGCUGUAGGUCAGGAGGUAGAGUUGGCAGUGGGCGUGCAGGAGAAGCUGUAGGUCGGAGAGGUAGAGGUGGCAGUGGGCGUGCAGGAGAAGCUGUAGGUCAGAGAGGUAGAGGUGGCAGUGGGCGUGCAGGAGAAGCUGUAGGUCGG